rnacentral:lncRNA from 1 species
GGAGUGGUGCAGUGCUGGAGGGACACGUCAGAACAGAAGGGAACAGCAGAACGUGAAAGGGCGAGUCCUUAGCACAGUUGCUGUGUCAACAGGGCCGCUGAUCCCUGGAUGGGAAUAGUAGUCUCUCUCUGGCCCGAGAAUUCCAAAUCUAACCUCUUUUGAUCCGAAUCUUGGUUUGUUUCUCAGGAACAAGAGCCUUCCUUAGUACACCACUCUGAGCUUGUUGGCCUUGCUCCCAGAAAUGCACGUGAAG